GCAGCUAUUUUGCCGUAAAAGUCGUAGAAGCGUUAUCUUUGCAAGAGUUACUUUACAGUCAAUAAGAUUUCAGAAUUUAUAUUGUUUAAAUUGGAGCUAUACAUGUACACUACAUCAUGAAGCGGUUAUCGAAUGUUCCCGAAAAAUCUGCCUAAAAAAGUGGGCCAAAUGGCGUCCCGUUGUACCAUAGGCGGCUAAUGACAAAAUAACUUGAUCUCGUACGAGACGGCGAUUACAAGUUUAAUGCAUACGAAUUUCUUCUCUUAAGGCAAUAAGGUUAAACACUGGUGGGUGGUUGUGAUUGGAUGUUGGUCUAGCUGUGUACCAGAAAAGAUUUGUUGGGGGAUAAAUGUAAAUUUCCAACUGAAAAUAAUGGCAUUUCUUCUCUAAAACAAUGAAAAACUGCAUAACAUGGAGAUAAAUAGAAUUUGUUAUGUUUUGAAGGGCAUCACAAUAUAAAUGGCUGAAGGAACUACUGCAAUAGAGCUAUCAGAUAACCAGUGAAAACAGUCACACCAAGAAUUUGAUUGUUCAAAUUCUGAAUGAUGUUGACAAUGGUAAGGGAAGAAAGCAGUAUGAAUCUUUGCUGCAUAGUUCACUUCAUGUUCAUAUCUAUCAGGUAUCUUAUAGCAUAUGAACGGGUCAAUUUAUAAAAAGAAAUAGCUUAGAUGGGAUUUAUGGAAUUUCAACAAUGUCAGAGACUUCUCUUGUUAACUGGAAAUGUAAUUUCAAUUCUCCUUUAAGGUUAACAGAAAAUUCUCUGAAUACCGUCAAUCUAUUUGAAUGCUAAAUUUGUUUUUGACGGAAAUGCCAUGAACUUGUAAGGUCAUUUGACAGGAGACAUUGAUUUUGUGUUGAUAUUGGAAUCAGAAUGGAAUUCACCUGUUCAGAUGUACCAACUGGCCCCUGGACAGGAACCAGUAGCCUGAAAAUGAUUUUGAGUUACCUACAAACAACAAAUGUUGGGUUGGUAAUGUCUACUUCUUAUAUUUUUAGUAGGUUGUUGAAGGAAUGCUGAUUGUUUAUCUGCGAGUGGAAAUCUACUUGGCCACACUUAAAUUUGACAAAUAUCCUGAGAUUGAUGAAACCCAAAUGGAAAAAUUUAGCAAAAGAGAAAUGCUAGGUGAAAUGACAGAAACUUUACCGUAGCUUAACUAAACAGCAAUCAACUAAUGAUAGGUUAUGGAAACCAGCCAAUCCAGGAAGUUGAAUGGCAAAUCAAACUGGUGGCUGAAGUGCAAAACGAUGAUGGAACAGGAUAAAAAAGACAUCAUAUUCAACAUGCAACUUCUUAUCCAUCAUUGUAAGAAUUAAUGUAAAGGCGACAUUGUGGGGAAUUGAAAAAGGAGAAUCUUCUAGGCAAUCAAGGGGAAAUUGUAAAAGGUUUUGCCGACGUAUUAAAAGUAAUGUAUUAAUCAUUGUGUGUUUGGCCAACACCCUUGCAUUCUGUCCAAGGAUGUUCAAGACAUGCUGUUUACCUACAUCGAAAAGGCUAUUUUUAAAUUUAUGUAUAAAUACAUUUCAAAUUUUGUUUAGUUGAGAGUCGGCUGCCGUUUUCAGAAAACCAGCAACGGCAACUACACACCUUUCUCUUUGACGGUUUCUACGAAGAUUUGAGUCGGAUUUUGAAGAAGCUUUCCGUUGAACUCAAAGACGCUGAUGGACGUUCAGAUGCGGAAGUAACAAGUGAACGCUGGGAAAAUGAUCGUAAACGAAACAAUUCUGUAAUAGUAGAUUCUUUCAAGUCGUUCUUGGUUUGUCCGGAGUGCAACAAGGUCUCGGUUACAUUUGACGCUACUUUGUUUCUAUUGCUUCCAAUACUAGUAUUUAAAAAAAGGGCAAAGACCAAUUUAGUUGCAUCUGGUACGGUUGGAUCCUGAGCAGGAGAUCAUGAGCUAUCGAGUGAAAUCGUUGCAAUUCCAGAUUUCCAUUCAGAACUCAAUUGUUGAUAUGAGCUACCGGAAAGGCUUGGGACACCGUGCAUAUGCUGUUAUUUUACGUGUGGACCUAAAAAAGGAAAACGGAAUUAUUACGACUACGAUUCCUUAUUCGGUAUCCUCUUCAUCCAUCAAGUGUCUAUGGAAGGAAUUGAUCGUGAUCAGUUAUACCGAUGCAUAGUGACUCGUAUGAAAUGCAGCAAAUCACCAGGAUCUGGCAGACCUGUCAUCAUUUUGUGUUAUCAUGGAUUCAUCGUAUUCAAAUGAAAAUCUGUGAGAGUGAAAUGGACACUGAAGAUGCCGAGAUGUCCCUCGCAAAACGGCAAUGAACGGAGAUUAAAGGAUAGAUUCUUUUUCAAAGACUUCGCAGUCUGGCGACUUUUUCUAAAAUAUGGAUUUGGUCAAGUUGAAUGGAAAUUCGAGUCUUUUCAAAACCAAGAAAAAUUUAAGCCAAUUACUCUUGCUCGUAACUUCGAUAUUCCUAAUCAAACAUUUAUAAUGUUUUAUAAUCUUAGGUAUUGUCUUACCUGUAAGAAGUCCUACCUCUCAUCCAAUUUAAAACGUUUUCUAAAGUGAAAUUAAUUCUCAACACCCGUCAUAUACAAACUGUGCGAAGAAUGUACGAUAGCACCGUGGGAAAACAUGUUAUGGACAUCCUCUUCAGAAAGGUUUACCAUUUAUAAUUCUUUUUGUUUCUUCUCUCACAGAUCUUCAUAUAAUCCAUAUAAGUAAUAGCUUUAGGCUACAUUAAAAACAUGCUUCGUGACGGCUCUGCUAGAUGGCGUUAAGAAUGACAUCUAUCUCCACGAGAGGCGCUUAAAACUGUUGCUCACCAGAUGGCGAGGCGUUGGAAACUAAUACCAGAUUUUCGUGAAUAGCACGUUACUUACUAGGAUAUCAAUCAAUGGGAUCGGUGUUUGCGUUCGGUUCCGCAGUUUCAGGCGUAGGAUGUCGACAAAUUUCUUAGUUUCAAGAUCAUGUCCACUGAGCACAUUUUAUAAUGAGCCAGCCGAAUAUGGGUUAAGUUCCAUGCAUCAAAAAUUGGUUGUAUCAUACAUCUCGUGUUCGUUGCCUUAUAGUUUUGAAAAGAAUAAUUGAACGUUGUUCUGAAACUCAAUGUUACUGAAUGUUAUUUUUGAUGAUACCUACACCACAUUAUUAUGAAAACAAAACAAAAAAGCCUGGGAAGUUGCAGCCCGUCAUAAAAGGUAAAAUCUAUUGCCGCGUGGAUACCAGAUGGCAGUAGUGUGGUGAUUGUGCUGUUCCAGGUCAUUUGAAAGAUUUUGACAAAAGUUGA
rnacentral:lncRNA from 1 species